rnacentral:rRNA from 1 species
AACGAACGCUGGCGGCAGGCUUAACACAUGCAAGUCGAGCGCCCCGCAAGGGGAGCGGCAGACGGGUGAGUAACGCGUGGGAACGUACCCUUUGCUACGGAAUCGCUCCGGGAAACUGGAAUUAAUACCGUAUGUGCCCUACGGGGGAAAGAUUUAUCGGCAAAGGAUCGGCCCGCGUUGGAUUAGCUAGUUGGUGGGGUAAUGGCCUACCAAGGCGACGCUCCAUAGCUGGUCUGAGAGGAUGAUCAGCCACAUUGGGACUGAGACACGGCCCAAACUCCUACGGGAGGCAGCAGUGGGGAAUAUUGGACAAUGGGCGCAAGCCUGAUCCAGCCAUGCCGCGUGAGUGAUGAAGGCCUUAGGGUUGUGAAGCUCUUUCACCGGAGAAGAUAAUGACGGUAUCCGGAGAAGAAGCCCCGGCUAACUUCGUGCCAGCCGCCGCCGUAACAC